UUGCAUCGAUGAAGAACGCAGCGAAAUGCGAUAAGUAGUGUGAAUUGCAGAAUUCAGUGAAUCAUCGAAUCUUUGAACGCACAUUGCGCCCCUUGGUAUUCCAUGGGGCAUGCCUGUUCGAGCGUCAUUUGUACCUUCAAGCUUUGCUUGGUGUUGGGUGUUUGUCUCGCCUCUGCGCGCAGACUCGCCUCAAAACAAUUGGCAGCCGGCGUAUUGAUUUCGGAGCGCAGUACAUCUCGCGCUUUGCACUCAUAACGACGACGAUCCAAAAGUACAUUUUUACGCUCUUGACCUCGGAUCAGGUAGGGAUACCCGCUGAA
rnacentral:rRNA from 1 species